ACGCUGGCUACAGGCUUAACACAUGCAAGUCGAGGGGAAACGACGGGGAAGCUUGCUUCCCCGGGCGUCGACCGGCGCACGGGUGAGUAACGCGUAUCCAACCUGCCUCUGACUGAGGGAUAACCCGUCGAAAGUCGGCCUAAUACCUCAUGGCAUCGUCUGCGGGCAUCCAACGACGAUUAAAGAUUUCAUCGGUCAGGGAUGGGGAUGCGUCUGAUUAGCUUGUUGGCGGGGUAACGGCCCACCAAGGCUACGAUCAGUAGGGGUUCUGAGAGGAAGGUCCCCCACAUUGGAACUGAGACACGGUCCAAACUCCUACGGGGGGCAGCAGUGAGGAAUAUUGGUCAAUGGGCGGGAGCCUGAACCAGCCAAGUAGCGUGCAGGAUGACGGCCCUAUGGGUUGUAAACUGCUUUUAUGCGGGGAUAAAGUGAGGGACGUGUCCUUCAUUGCAGGUACCGCAUGAAUAAGGACCGGCUAAUUCCGUGCCAGCAGCCGCGGUAAUACGGAAGGUCCGGGCGUUAUCCGGAUUUAUUGGGUUUAAAGGGAGCGUAGGCCGUGGAUUAAGCGUGUUGUGAAAUGCAGGUGCUCAACGUCUGCACUGCAGCGCGAACUGGUCCACUUGAGUGUGCACAACGCAGGCGGAAUUCGUCGUGUGGCGGUGAAAUGCUUAGAUAUGACGAAGAACUCCGAUUGCGAAGGCAGCUUGCGGGAGCACAACUGACGCUGAAGCUCGAAAGUGCGGGUAUCGAACAGGAUUAGAUACCCUGGUAGUCCGCACGGUAAACGAUGGAUGCCCGUUGUCAGGCUGUUUCAGCCUGGUGACCAAGCGAAAGCAUUAAGCAUCCCACCUGGGGAGUACGCCGGCAACGGUGAAACUCAAAGGAAUUGACGGGGGCCCGCACAAGCGGA
rnacentral:rRNA from 1 species